ACCCGCGCCAGCCCGUCUCUCUGGAAAGUUCACCGGAGCCCCGAAAGCCCUUCAAGGCGGGGUCUGGUCCCACACUGGCGGGUUCUCCCAUUACUGGAGGCUCCUGACCCUUGCCCUUCCCAGGAGGAAGGGAGCAGAGAACGCGCCCGAUUCCCGACCGGGUGAAAAACUUUGCUUCCUAGGAGCUCGGGGGAGGCCAAAGUGAGUUCCGCCGGAGACGCCCGGGAGGGGCGGCGGACCUGAGAAGGCAAAACAGCCCUCCGUCCUAAGCGCCUGGACGCGGGGAGCCGGCCUGCGCAGGGAGGGCAUCGCCCGCCCCCCAGCACGCCGGCCCAGCCGCCCGGCGAUCGCCGACCUCCCCGCGUCUCCCUGGAGUCGCCCUGCAGCCCCGGCCCCUGGCAGAAGCAGACCUGCGCCUUUAAGAGCCGCUGGGUUUACCUUUGCUCCGUUUACCCGGCGCAGCGCUGCCCCCUCCUCCCGGGCCCCCCGCCCGCCAGCCGCCGCGAGUCGCCCGCGGACUCACCGCGCGUGUCCUGGGGGCCGCGGUGCGCCGGCUCCCGCCCGCGACAGCCGAGGGGCCGGGCCCUGCGCCCUGCUGGGGUCCCUGCCCGCCCUCGGAGCUGCGGCCGCUGGUCGGGAAAGGAUCUAGCAUUUAAUAGGUCUGGAGAACCAAAAUGGUGAGACUGAAUUGGCAGAGGAAACGGAGCGGACAAAGGAGGUGAAGAACAAGUCGGGAGCCUUGAGCAGAGAGGGCAUCAAGAAGGAAGGGGGCAUCAGGAGGGGCCUGGCAGUCAAGCUGCGGUCACGAUGAUGGCUAGAGUUCCUGCUCUCAGGUGUCUCGCAGUCUGGGUUCAGG
ensembl:lncRNA